UGGCGGCGUGCCUCAGACAUGCAAGUCGAACGCGAAAGUCCCCUUCGGGGGGCGAGUAGAGUGGCGCACGGGUGAGUAACACGUAGGUAAUCUACCUUUGGAUGGGGAAUAACAAUCGGAAACGAUUGCUAAUACCGCAUAAUGCAGCGGCACCUAAUGGUGACAGUUGUUAAAGCGGGGGAUCGAAAGACCUCGCGUCUAAAGAGGAGCCUGCGGCGGAUUAGCUAGUUGGUAAGGUAAUGGCUUACCAAGGCUACGAUCCGUAACCGGCCUGAGAGGGCGGUCGGUCACACUGACACUGACAUACGGGUCAGACUCCUACGGGAGGCAGCAGUCGGGAAUUUUGGGCAAUGGGCGAAAGCCUGACCCAGCAACGCCGCGUGAAGGAUGAAAUCCCUCGGGAUGUAAACUUCGCAAGAACGGGAAGAAUAAGUAGGGGACAAUACCCCCUAUGAUGACGGUACCGUUUGUAAGCUCCGGCUAACUCCGUGCCAGCAGCCGCGGUAAUACGGGGGGAGCAAGCGUUGUUCGGAUUUACUGGGCGUAAAGGGCGCGUAGGCGGCCAGCACAAGUCAGUUGUGAAAUCUCCGAGCUUAACUCGGAAAGGUCAACUGAUACUGUGCGGCUAGAGUGCAGAAGGGGCAACUGGAAUUCUUGGUGUAGCGGUGAAAUGCGUAGAUAUCAAGAGGAACACCUGCGGCGAAGGCGGGUUGCUGGGCUGACACUGACGCUGAGGCGCGAAAGC
rnacentral:rRNA from 1 species